rnacentral:rRNA from 1 species
AAACCAGCACCUCAAGUGGUCAGGAGGAUUAUUGGGCCUAAAGCAUCCGUAGCCUGUACUGUAAGUUUUCGGUUAAAUCCAUUAGCUCAACUAAUGGGCCGCCGAAAAUACUGUAGAACUAGGGAGUGGGAGAGGUAGACGGUAUUCGGUAGGAAGGGGUAAAAUCCUUUGAUCUAUUGAGGACCACCUGUGGCGAAGGCGGUCUACCAGAACACGUUCGACGGUGAGGGAUGAAAGCUGGGGGAGCAAACCGGAUUAGAAACCCCAGUAGUCC